rnacentral:tRNA from 1 species
AGUGAGUUUUAUUAAGUCUUCUAAACUUAUAAUAGGGUGUUCCUGCUCGUUG